CCUUCGAUAGCUCAGCUGGUAGAGCGGAGGACUGUAGGUGUAUACCCUGGCAAGAGACAUCCUUAGGUCGCUGGUUCGAUUCCGGCUCGAAGGA
rnacentral:tRNA from 1 species